CCCAGCAUAGUAACAAGCAAAUAGAUUUGUUUUGUGAGCAUUCUCUUAUAUUAAGAUGAUGGCUACUACUCUAACCUGCACUGCUUCCCUUCUCUGUUCCCUCCUCCUCAUCUAUUCUUCAGCCCAAACUUCUCCAACAGUUCCCUUGAAAUCCUUACCAUGCAUAUCUCCUUAGAAUUUUCUGUUAUUAUAAGAGAACAAUGCUUGUUUGUGGUGUUAAGAUCCCAACUUGGUGGAUAGAAGAGCUCUAGGUGUAAUGUUUGUGUAUCAUGGUAUAUAGCACUAUGUGUUUGUUGAAAUGCCAACACUGUAUGCAAACAUUGGCAGUACAAGUACUGGUGCCGAAAGCUGAAGCGGCGACAUGCCAGGCAACUCUCGCGCCCGGCGGCUGCAACCUUUCCUUGUGCAGACGGCGGUGCUUUCAACAGACUAACGGCAACGGAGUCUGUGUCGCCAAUGGUAAGAGGACCGACUAUUCGUGCGUAUGCACGUAUAAAUGUCAAAGUUAGAGGCUUUCCAGUUUUAUCUUUUAACUUUGGUGAGCUUCAUGAAUUUAUAGCUUUGUGACGAAAUGUCGGUUGCUUGCGUGUUCUGAAAUUAAUAUGGAAGUUGAAAAUGCUGAUACUCACACUAGUAGUCUCCUCCAGGAUCAUGAUCUUGGUUCCUUUUCAUUGUGGUGUUGUACAACAUGCUCUUCAAGGAUUAAUAACAUUUUUUGAGAGAUUUAAAACUGCUUUUGCAGCCUUAGUUUUGGAAACAGAUUCUAUAUUCCGAAGUGUCUGACAAAUAACAGGUUUCCGAUUCCUGAGAUUUCUGCCCAAGCAGAAGUUUUAGUUUAAGAUUUCUGCCUCUUAUUGUGGCAGAAGUCUUUUCAGAAACUUUUUCAGAACAGUUGUUGGUUCCUUUUUAAACAGUCAUCCUUAAAACAACUCGGCAGUUUUGCAAAAGCUCUAGCUCGGACAAACAGACUCUGGAGGGUUAGAUUUUGUAGAAGUGAGUUAGCAAGAUAUCGUAGUAUGAUUAGUUUGGGAACAGAAAUGCAAAAGCUUUUGAACUUCACCCAUUUUAUGUGCCUGAUUGCACUGACUGGGUCGUCGAACAUAGUACGAUUAUGGAAGCACUUGAGUUAAAAGUGCUUUUGGAUUCUUGUCGAACACCGUAAGUUUGUGUGUGUGAAGUAGUUCCAAACUGUGCCUUCAAAUCUAAUUUGUUCUGCUUCUGUUUUCAUCAGGUCCUGCUGUAACUGUCUUGUUUUAUUCAACUGAGCUUGGCUCUUCGAAACAAAUCUUUGGUUGUUA